rnacentral:lncRNA from 1 species
CAGGUAUUUUCUUUGCUCUGUUCUUCGUUUUACAUUUUUGGUGUUACUUGGAUCUGCAUUUGGAUUUUGAAAUUUUCACAGAUCUGCAUUGCCAAAUCUAGUAGCUUUCGCCCAAGACUCUAUAUAUGUGUUAAUAAUUAAUUAUUUACGUAUGAAUAUUAGAUUCAAAACACAGUUUUACUAGCACUUAAGGUCGCUAUCGACUCUAUAUAUGUCUAAAGAAUUAAUUAUAUAUGUACAAAUAUUAAAUUCACAACCCAGAGUUUUAGUAGCACUUAAAGGUCGUUAUCCUAGAAUUUAGAAUGCAUAAAGUUCAAAUACUAGAUCCGUGUAUUUGCUUGUGUAAAGUGCCUUAAAAUAUUAUAGAUCUGGGUACCCAUGCUUUGUGAUCUAUGUGAUUAAGAUGUAUGUGUUAAGUUUCUUACUGAAUGUGUAUAAAUACUAAAUUUGGAACCCAAUUUAACUAGCACUUGAGUUCGUUAUUCUAGAAUUCAAAAUGUAUAAAGUUCAAAUACUAGAUCCGCGUACUUGCUUGUGUAAAGUGCCUUUAAAUACUAUAGAUCUCGCUGCCAUGCAUUGUGAUGUAUGUGUUCAUUUUGAUUAAUUAUUCAUUUAAAUAAUUUCAUGUGAAGUUUAUAAAGAUAUUUUUCUCAAACAACUGGAUCUAGAGUGAGGAAAAGAUUAAGAUAUGGGAGAACUAGAAUUGGAUCAAUUUAUGUUUCAGUUUUUCUCUGUGCAUGAGCAUUAUGAGGCUUAAUGCGGACCAACAAUUUCAACUUUUCUUGAGAUAUCAGCUGAUACCACACUUGGAUUGAUGUGGAUUGUUAGCAUCUGGUUUAAUUGAUGCAAUCCAAGAUCUAGGUCUUGUUGUGCUUCAAGCUGAAUCUUGUUAUUUGUGGACACAGGAAGCCGCUGAUCCCUUUGAAUAUUGUGACUUGGUCACUACCACCACUCACAAGAGC